AACGUAUUAGGUUUGUGCAAAAAUAAUUGCAAUUUUUGCAAUUACUUUCAAUGGCAAAAACUGCAAUUACUUUUGCACCAACCUAACAGU
rnacentral:miRNA from 1 species